rnacentral:rRNA from 1 species
UACGAAGGGGCUAGCGUUGCUCGGAAUCACUGGGCGUAAAGGGUGCGUAGGCGGGUCUUUAAGUCAGGGGUGAAAUCCUGGAGCUCAACUCCAGAACUGCCUUUGAUACUGAGGAUCUUGAGUUCGGGAGAGGUGAGUGGAACUGCGAGUGUAGAGGUGAAAUUCGUAGAUAUUCGCAAGAACACCAGUGGCGAAGGCGGCUCACUGGCCCGAUACUGACGCUGAGGCACGAAAGCGUGGG